rnacentral:rRNA from 1 species
CAUGGCCUUGUGCCGGCGAUGGUUCAUUCAAAUUUCUGCCCUAUCAACUUUCGAUGGCAGGGUCUUGGCCUGCCAUGGUUACAACGGGUAACGGAGGGUUAGGGCUCGACCCCGGAGAAGGAGCCUGAGAAACGGCUACUACAUCCAAGGAAGGCAGCAGGCGCGCAAAUUACCCAAUGCCGACACGGCGAGAGUAGUGACAAUACAUACUGAUACAGGGCUCUUUUGGGUCUUGUAAUUGGAAUGAGUACAAUUUAAAUCCCUUAACGAGGAACAAUUGGAGGGCAAGUCUGGUAGCAUCUGCUGGUGCCAGAAAUAGUGAAGCCCUAUACAAAUUCACUAGUCGAACGCAUCCCUACGUGGCGGGUGGAUGCCGGCGAGACAACCUGGAUCGGGGAAGGCUACGGGUAUAUAUAUGCCUAUGCUAAUCCCGAGCGGAGCUACCCUGUAGCCCGUGUAGAGCGCGGAAAGGUGUCGGCCCUAUAAGAUUAUAGGGCUUAAGGUACGUGCCAGCCCCUAUAGAAAUAUAGGCUAGUUACUGAAGCGCCCGCCGCGUGAAGGUAGCUAGGUACUGCGUAAGCAGUAUUGUACAUAAAUAUAACGGCCAGCAGCCGCGGUAAUUCCAGCUCCAAUAGCGUAUAUUAAAGUUGUUGCAGUUAAAAAGCUCGUAGUUGAACCUUGGGCCUGGCUGGCCGGUCCGCCUCACCGCGUGCACUGGUUCGGCCGGGCCUUUCCCUCUGGGGAACCCCAUGCCCUUCACUGGGUGUGGCGGGGAACCAGGACUUUUACUGUGAAAAAAUUAGAGUGUUCAAAGCAGGCCUAUGCUCGAAUACAUCAGCAUGGAAUAAUAGAAUAGGACGUGCGGUUCUAUUUUGUUGGUUUCUAGGACCGCCGUAAUGAUUAAUAGGGACAGUCGGGGGCAUCAGUAUUCAAUUGUCAGAGGUGAAAUUCUUGGAUUUAUUGAAGACUAACUACUGCGAAAGCAUUUGCCAAGGAUGUUUUCAUUAAUCAGGAACGAAAGUUAGGGGAUCGAAGACGAUUUGAUCAGUGUAUUUGGUCGUCAAUAGUGAAAGCUAGUCCAGCGUGCCGGGCGGUACGCAGGGCGACACCGUCAAAUUGCGGGGACCUCCUGAGAGCCUCUACCACACCCUAUGGCUAGAAAUAGCGAUAGGUCGUUAUAGUGUAGAGGAUUGGACAAUCCGCAGCCAAGUCCGUACGGAUGCUACCCUGUAGUAUCUAGGAUGCAGUUCACAGACUAAAUGUCGGUGGGAGCCUUCGGGCCUCUAAAAUAUAGUCGAUCCGGCGCUGAAAGGCGGCGAAAGAGAUGCAGAUACCGUCGUAGUCUUAACCAUAAACUAUGCCGACUAGGGAUCGGACGAUGUUAUUUUUUGACUCGUUCGGCACCUUACGAGAAAUCAAAGUCUUUGGGUUCUGGGGGGAGUAUGGUCGCAAGGCUGAAACUUAAAGAAAUUGACGGAAGGGCACCACCAGGGGUAAACCAGAUUCCGCAGCGUCUCUGCCCCGAAAAGCGGCCUGUAUUUACAGGAAGGUGGUUCGCCUAUUGUACCUACCGCUAGUCGCUAUUGCAGCGGCGACAUCCCUAAAGUGCGGGAAACCCCUGAAACUGACAGCGACCAAACCUACCUAGCAAUAGGUAUGGUGGCCGGGCGUAACGAUCCCGGGUAUGGUAAUACUGCUGGCAGAUUGGGCAACUCGCAGCCAAGUCCCAUCGGUACGAUGGGAAAGGUUCAGAGACUAGAUAGGGGUGGGCCUACCCUAUAGCUACCCUGUAGCUAUGCGGAAGCCUAAGAUAUAGUCCGUCCACAGGCGAGAGCCAGCGUGGUAUACAUAAUAAUUCGGGAGCCUGCGGCUUAAUUUGACUCAACACGGGGAAACUCACCAGGUUAACGACAGCACAGUUACGUGUCUGGGCCUGGAAUAGUGAAUUGGAAUUGCUAGUGCUAGGUACAUCUACGUGGGGAAGCCCCCGAUUCGGGCGUAGAUGGGCUGUAUCUUACGGCUUUCACCUAGUGCGACACCAGCUGGUACAGGGGACGCCUCAGGCUAUUCACAUGCCUAGGCCAAUCCUGUGGCGAGUUCAGGUUGCGCUGAACCGUUGCAACGCGCGCAAAGCGGUGGGCUUCUUCGGAGGCUUAAGGUACGUGCUGAUCCUGCGGGAAACCGCAGCUCUCUUGACUAGGGCCGAAUAUCCAAAGCAAGAGGGGCAGGGCUGACUAAGCCCUGCGAACGUGGGAUUACCCCGCCAAACUACCCUGUAGCUACCCUGUAGCUACCCGGGAAAGUGCGGGGUAAUCUGGCGAAAAUGCCAGACACA